AUUUAAUUUCCUCGUCUGAAAUUGGCCUUAGAAGGUAUUCUGCUUGAUCAGUAUUCAGGAGAUUCCCUUGCAAAACAGUGUCCCUAUUUAGCCUGGUGCAGUCGCUCUUUGUUCCCAACAGACUCUUAUAAUACUGAACAAAAGCCUCUCCCACUUGCUUCUGGGAAGUAGUUCGGCUCCCAUCCUCAUGGGAGAUAGAAGCUAUGUGAUUCUUGGCUCGGUUGCUUUUUAUGAGAUCAUGGAAAAAUUUGGUACCCUUGUCGCAAUUCUUUAGAUACUUUGAUUUUGCUAACUGAGAGCAGAAGCUAAGCUCUGCCUCUACUAGCUUGAGAGCCUUCUGCCGAAGCUGAGGAACUAGCCUUUGGAAGUUAGAAUAUGCAGGGUUGUCAUGUAAUUGCUGCUGGGCUUGGGAUAGCUCUUCCUCGGCAGCUUCUGCUUGGGCAGAGAUGUGGGAAUAGGAAUGUUUGUUCAGAGCUCUCAGGGGGUCUUUCAGCCCUCUAAGCUUUCUGUAAAAUCUGAACAUGGCUAUACUUUUGAUCUGCAUUCUCCAAGACCUGCUGACGAUUUCCCCAAAUUUUUCAUGCUUGGUCCACAUGUUGAAGAAUUUGAACGGGCUGUUUCCUCGGGCAUUUCCCCAAAUAAGGCAAUAGUACAAGGGGAAUGGUCUGAAAGCUUUCCUGGGAGAUCAAAUCUUGCCUGGGCUAAAUGACCCUCUUGGAUCCAUUUGGUGUUAACCAUAGCCCGAUCAAGCUUGCACCAUACUGAGUUAUUGGACCAAGUGAGAAAAGUCCCUGUGGAUCUCAAGUCUGAUAUGCCAAUAUCAUAGCAACAGUUUUUAAAGUCCCAAAUCUCAUACAUAGUGACAGGGAGCUCGUUGGCUUUUUCUUCACUGCUAAGAACAUUGUUAAAGUCUCCUACAAGAAUCCACGGCAGCUCAAAGGAUGCGUUAUAUCUGCGCGGGUUAUCCCAAAGGGGCCUUCGCCCCGUAAUCGAAUUGAAAGCAUAAAUGAAGCUAAUGGAAAAUUUGAUAGUUGAUGACUUACAAAUUGCCAGGCAAUGAAUAACCUGAUCCGUGGUUUCAAUAAUCUACAGCCGCACUUUAUCCUCCUUCCAGAGGAUUAAAAUUCUGCCAUUCCGGUUGAGCAGAAAAUUAUCUUUUACUCUCCAAGAUCUGAACUUUCUUCUAGCAAUAUUUCCCAAGCUUUGCUUAGAGAGUUUUGUUUCCAGUAUACCUAUGAUAUCCACCUUAUUUCUCCUAGCAUGAUUCAAAACUCCAUUCUGCUUUAGAGGCGAGUUUAAGCCUCUAAUAUCCCAGAAUGAGAUUAUCAUUGAGUGGGUUGGAUAGGGGAGUCACCCCCCAUUUCUGCACAAAAUUCCUCAAAGGCUGUUGGUUUGCUAUUCUUCUCUGGACCCUUUUUGUCCAUCUUCUUCCUUCUACCCCUUUGACAGGGGUAGGAUUGGAGGAUGAGGGGGGUGGGAUUUUUCCAAGUUUUUUGAUGCGAGGAUGGCUGUUAUGGAUCUUAUUGGCUGAGCUGCUACCUUUUUCUCAACUGUUACUGGGCCACCUUUUUCCACUGUUUUUGCUUCUGUAUUUGCUUUGGUUUUGACAAUUACUGCUUCACCUAUCUGCACUUUUUGGGGGGGUUUAGGGAUGCUCGGUUGUUGCUCUUUUCUAUGCUUUAUAACUUUGUUCAAGCUUUCUUCUUUUGCAUAUUCUAGGGCUGGAUCUGGAUUCUGAGUCUUUUCAGCCACUGGAGCUGGACUCUCGAUCAGGUUCUAGACAGUCUCUUCUGCCCUAGAUGUUGAAGUCGGGUUUUCAUCUGCCUCUGGACUAACCUCCAGAGCACUGAAUUUGUUGUGUGUUUGUGUUUCAAUUGUCUUUCUCCCCUCAGUGGGGUCAUUUUGCCCUUUUUCUGCCCUUGGUUUCUUUGUUACCCAUUCCAUUUGAUUCCUUUAUUUGUUCCUGCCUCAAAGGUUCCUGCCUGGCCGGUAGCAUCUACAUUUGCUGCCAAAAUUUCCUUCUCCUUCUCGGUCCUGUCUUUGUUUGCUUUGCAUCCUUCCUUAGAAUGUCCCAUAGUCCUGCAGUGGGUACAGAACCUUGGAAGAUUCUCAUAGAAUAUUGGUUGCUCAUAGAUCCCCCCUCCUGGGAAGUUAAGAUUAACUUUGUGUGCUUGGUUUCCUUUGUCAUAUCUAUUUCCACUAGGCAUCUUGCGUACGUUACUCGCUCCUUUUGGGUGGUCAUCUUGUCCAUGUGUAUUGGCUUACCUAUCAGUGAGCAAAUUUUCCCAAAAACUGUUGCACUCCACAUAUCCAAGGGGACAUAUCUUAGUUGAACCCACAUGGGGAAGCAGCUAAUGGUUUCGUUUCCGAAAUGGAAAAGACGCGGCAUUGGCUUAAGAAGUAGUGGUAUUCCGUAGAUGAUGUAUGGUCCGCUCUCCAAGAUUUUGACCUUGUCGUCAUUUGAGUAAAACUGGAAAAUGAGCCAUCCACUCCCGUGGUG
rnacentral:lncRNA from 1 species